AAGACUAUACUUUCAGGGAUCAUUUCUAUAGUUUCUGACUUGAGAAAUGUGUUUCUAAAGUGUUUGGUCUCGCUAACCACGAUGAAGAGAGUCGAUAUUCCUUCCUGAGCGUGAAGCGGGCUGAAAGUAAUGAUUUAUUCAUACGCUUUCAGUCAUUGAUGAACGUUCUUUGCUUCGCUUUAGGAGCACUGAUGGGAGGAAUAUGAUCCGAGUGGU